CGUCGAAUCACCACACGCGUGCCGCUGUUGCUCCUGGCCUGUGCAACGAUCUCCGAUCUUCUUGCGUUCUCCGACGAUCUUCUCCGGUGACAUCUCAUCCGGCGUCGAUCUCCUUCGGUGACAUCUCUUACAGCGGCGAUCUCCUCCGGUGACGUCUCCUCCAGCUUCCUCUCCUUAUCGACCACUGUGUCUUCUCCACCAAAAUCGUCAACACCUUCCUUUCCUUCCUCUGCGACGAUCUAGGCUGUUUGCGAGGAUUCAUCGCGAGUGGAGAAGUCGGUUCCGCCAUUUGCGCAGCAAGAUCAACAGCAAUUUGUGUUCCGCUGCUCUGCCGCCGCUGAUGUUCCUCAAUUUCUCUGCUCGGUGCCUUUGCCGCUGUCCCUCACUCUUCCAAAGGUUUCAACUAAUGUUUGCAUUGUAUAGUACAUCAAAAGAAAAGACAGAUUCAAUUAUAAGAUCAAAGGGGUUAUCAAAGUUGGAGAAGCAACUGGCAGGUAACUGCUACCUCUGAUAAUUUGGCUCUAUAAGUUGGAAAGCUUUGUUCUGCACUCCUUAGCCACUAUCAAUACCAAAAAAGAAAGCUAGUUAGCCACUGUGUAGUUUCCUGCAAUUCACUAUUUCAGCAUCAAAGGUCUAAAUCAAGUUAAUCAACCAUGUGAGAUUCAUUCCCCUUUUUAGACACUCCUUGUUGUAGAAACACUUCAGCAAUAGAGUAGUCAAAUGAGAGUGACCAUCCAUUUCUUCCCAUUCAAGUAACAAAAUCUUACAUGUGCAUAAAAGAAAAAGUAAUAUGUUUGAUACUUUCCUGUUAUUUUCACUAAAGUGAGAAAAAGUGAAGAAUGGUUUGCAACUGAAUAUUAUAUCUGAAACUGAAGAAUGAAGAAUGGAUAAGGUGAAAGCUUUACCUAGUGGGAAUGUUGGAGCCAGUCUUGGAAGCCAUGGAUGUUAACAGCAAAGCACAAGUGACUGUAUUGCUUGGUUGGACUUCACACAACAAGGAAAGGGAUGAAAUGAAACAGGCAAAGGUGGAGAAAUGGACGAGAUGAAAGAAUAAAAAUGGAGAGAGAAUUUGUAACCAAUUAAACAAUGGUAAAGGUUUCAAUUCGCUGACAAUCAUAAAAGCAUCAAUUGUGCUUCUUUGCACAAGUUCUUAUUAUGAUUGUAGUUAUGAUUUUGUGCUGAGUUUUAAAAUGCACAACCUUCCUGCUUAUGAUUAGCCAAAGGCUCGGCCUGUGCUUUCUGGUAAUGCAUUGAGAUCUAUUUAGUUAUUAUAAUCGAGCUUGACUUUUAUGUCUUAAAGAAAAGUGUAAUUUUUUUUAAUAUAUUUUUAUAUUAGCUAAUUGUCUCUCUCUUUUUGGACAACAAUGUAUGAAAAGCUUUUCACUUUUGAGGGUGAAAUUGGUGGUGGCAGGUUAUUUCUUUCUUUGGUCUUGCCAAACCUACUUUAUAUAAUUAGAUACAAUUUUUCUGAUAAACUUAGAUAAUGGUCCUAAAUUGCUCUGAUAACAAAGCUAACUUCUGUUGUUAUAAUAUUAUCUGUCUCACUGUUUUUAGUGACUUUAGGGGCUUAUGUUUUUAGAUCUUUAGGGGCUCAUGUUAUUAAUUAACUGUUUUAUUUAUGAGAAAAAUGUUAUUAAUUACAUUUUUUUCUUCUGUAAAUUCAAUUUUUCUUUAGGGGAGAAGGUGGAGUGAUAGACUUCACCAAGCAGUUGAAGCAAAGGAAGGGCUACCAAUUCAAAAUGAAACAGUUACACUGGCUUCCCUUAGUUAUCAGAAUUUUUUUCUGCAGUUUCCUAAGCUUUGUGGUAUGACUGGUACAGCAGCAACAGAAAGCACAGAAUUUGAGAGCAUUUACAAGCUUAAAGUUACAAUCGUUCCAACAAAUAAACCUAUGAUAAGAAAGGAAGAAUCUAAUGUAGUUUUUAGGGCAACUAGUGGGAAAUGGCGAGCAGUUGGAACGGAGCCGUUGUGUUAAUCUCUCCCACCUCUCCUCUUGGAGAAGCUGCCUUCCUUGUGUAUCCGUGCAUUUUCUUUGAUCCUUCUAAUUACCUGCACCGCACUGCACCACACCACAAUUCAUAUAAUAUUUUAUUGAUAACCGUUUCUAUGCACACAGAUCUUGACAUGCAUGUUUUAUGUAGGGCCCUGUUGAUAUACCUCUGUUUUAAUACAUCUUAAAGUUUUAAAGUUUUAAUCUUGUGUCAUUAAAGUUUAAAAUGGGAGCAGGUAGUAAGAAACAAGAUGCCGAGAAACCUAAAAGGGAGCGUGCUGUUGCAGCUGAGCAUUGCCAAUAUGCAAAUCCUUUUGACUCUGAAGAAGGAUCUUUACUUGGUGAUUAAUACGAAUGAAGGCAAGGAAGCUUCUAGAUGAGAGUAUAGGGAGGUUAAUGAAAAGAAAAGAAAGUGGAGAGCUUGGUGGAGGGUUAUUGGGAGAAUUGCUGGAAGCGAAAGGAAAAUACCAACUCUCUGAUUCUCAGGUUUCUUAUAAUCUCAUUGGUGUUAUCCUUGCUGCACAUGACACCACUGCAACUGCUCUUACUUGGCUUCUCAAAUACUUGCAAGACAAUCCCAAUCUCUUGGAAGCUGUCACAAAAGAACACGAAGGAUUCAAGAGCAAAAUAGCUCAACAAAAUCGUGGACUUUCUUGGGAUGAUACAAGGCAGAUGCCACUCACUACUUGGGUAAUCCAAGAAACGUUGAGAAGUGCAAGCAUACUGUCAUUCACAAACUGGCAGUAGCAAGGGUACUUACAAGAGCAAGCUGAUAUAAUUGAAAAGAAUGGAGGUGCUGUCUCUUUGAAUGGGUUUGAAAUUGUUCUACGACAGCUACAGAAGUUGGCACCUGAACUACAUCGAGUUCACUUUCUGAGCACUUGAAUAGUCUUUCUCAUGAUGAUUAUAUUGCUGCUUUGGAGAAUCUUCAUUGCUACUUGGAUUACAAGUAUUUGAACUAAAGUUGUGUUGAAGUUGGAUUUACACAAUGACAAAACCAAGCAAAAAGCUAUGAAAACUGGGUUGAAUCAGUAUCUGUGGACAUGAAGGAGAAGAAAAUGAGUUUAAUUGGUGAAAACAACACUUAUUAGAUGAUUUAAAUACAUUAUUAGAUAUUAACAUAGUUUAGGAAACUAGAUGGUAGAUUUGACUAAUUAGUUUUUAUUGCAAUAUUUGUAUUUUAGUAAGUUUAGUAAGACAAGGUUUUGUA